GUCUAUGGCUAUGCCAUCCUGAACAAGCUCGAUGUCUGAUUUCAAAAGCAGGGUCAGGCCUGGUUAGUACUUGGAUGGGAGACCACCUAGGAAGACCAGGUGCUGUAGGCA
rnacentral:rRNA from 1 species